rnacentral:misc_RNA from 1 species
AACCAUAGAAACCUGCGGAGUACCUGCGGAGGGAUCAUUAAUGAAAAAAUGGCGGCCUAUAAUUUGGGCUGUUCAUCAGUUCUAUUGUGAUACUAUUGACGCAUAAUAUCAGGGCUUAAAGAUGGGGUUUUUAGGAGUGAGUUUUGGCUUGCUUUUAAGAAAACCGGCCCUGAUUUAUUUUAAAUAAGCCAAUUUUGACCUUUUUGACUGAAAAAUUGAAUUUAAUAAUUCAAAAAUAAC